CACGCUCAUAUUUCCACGGAGGUUUUUACGGAGACAAAGGUGGAGCAGGGCGCUGGUGUGAGGUGGCUGCGGUGUUUGAGGGUAACAUCAAGUCUUCAUCAAGAGCCAGACAUGCCUCAGGAUAACAGGUAUUUGAGAACCUCCUGUGGGCUUUCAAAAUGAAAAUGCACACAGACAGCAAACGCCAAUUAUUUCUGUACCAUCAGCUGAAAGUCUGGGAAAAGCUUCCCCUACCGACUGAGUCCUGGAGGAGCCGUCAGCAAGGGUGCAAACAGAUGAAGGGAAAGAGGGAUGUCCUAGUUUUAUUUCUAGAGAGAGCGGCACUUCACUAUUUAAGGAAUAGCUUUUUCCUUUGUACACUAAAUUUUUUUGCAAUGGGGAAUAUAUUUUAAAAGGUGCCUUUUUAAUCUCUUUUUCUGUUUAGUGGCUUAGAUGGCCAUCUUUUGGAUGCUAUGAAAAUUCAC
rnacentral:lncRNA from 1 species